rnacentral:rRNA from 1 species
GAUGAACGCUGGCGGCGUGCCUAAUACAUGCAAGUCGAGCGAACAGACGAGGAGCUUGCUCCUCUGACGUUAGCGGCGGACGGGUGAGUAACACGUGGAUAACCUACCUAUAAGACUGGGAUAACUUCGGGAAACCGGAGCUAAUACCGGAUAAUAUAUUGAACCGCAUGGUUCAAUAGUGAAAGACGGUUUUGCUGUCACUUAUAGAUGGAUCCGCGCCGCAUUAGCUAGUUGGUAAGGUAACGGCUUACCAAGGCAACGAUGCGUAGCCGACCUGAGAGGGUGGUCGGCCACACUGGAACUGAGACACGGUCCAGACUCCUACGGUAGGCAGCAGUAGGGAAUCUUCCGCAAUGGGCGAAAGCCUGACGGAGCAACGCCGCGUGAGUUAUGAAGGUCUUCGGAUCGUAAAACUCUGUUAUUAGUGAAGAACAAAUGUGUAAGUAACUAUGCACGUCUUGACGGUACCUAAUCAGAAAGCCACGGCUAACUACGUG